UACGUAGGGUGCGAGCGUUGUCCGGAAUUACUGGGCGUAAAGAGCUCGUAGGUGGUUUGUCGCGUUGUUCGUGAAAUCUCACGGCUUAACUGUGAGCGUGCGGGCGAUACGGGCAGACUAGAGUACUGCAGGGGAGACUGGAAUUCCUGGUGUAGCGGUGGAAUGCGCAGAUAUCAGGAGGAACACCGGUGGCGAAGGCGACUUUCUGGGCUGUAACUGACGCUGAGGCGCGAAAGCGUGGGGAGCAAACAGG
rnacentral:rRNA from 1 species